GUAAUCAUGGCCGAGUGGUUAAGGCGAUGGACAAGAAAUCCAUUGGGGUCUCCCCGCGCAGGUUAAAAUCCUGCCGACUACG